AGGACGAACGCUGGCGGCGCGCUUAACACAUGCAAGUCGAGCGGAAAGGCCCUUCGGGGUACUCGAGCGGCGAACGGGUGAGUAACACGUGGGCAACCUGCCCCUAGCUCUGGGAUAACUCCGGGAAACCGGGGCUAAUACCGGAUACGAUCUUCCACGGCAUCUCGGAAGAUGGAAAGUUUUUCGGCUAGGGAUGGGCCCGCGGCCUAUCAGCUUGUUGGUGAGGUAACGGCCCACCAAGGCGACGACGGGUAGCCGGCCUGAGAGGGCGACGGCCACGACUGGGACUCGAGACACGGCCCAGACUCCUACGGGAGGCAGCAGUGGGGAAUAUUGCGCAAUGGGCGAAAGCCUGACGCAGCGACGCCGCGUGAGGGAUGAAGGCCUUCGGGUGUAACCUCUUCAGCAGGACGAAGCGAAGUGACGACUGCAGAAGAAGACGACCGGCAACGUACGUCGCCAGCGACGCCGACGGUAACUCGU
rnacentral:rRNA from 1 species